UACGGAGGGUGCGAGCGUUGUCCGGAAUCACUGGGCGUAAAGGGCGCGUAGGCGGCCCGUUAAGCGUGCGGUGAAAGCCCGGGGCUCAACUCCGGGUCGGCCGUGCGAACUGGCGGGCUCGAGCACUGUAGAGGCAGGUGGAAUUCCGGGUGUAGCGGUGGAAUGCGUAGAGAUCCGGAAGAACACCGGUGGCGAAGGCGGCCUGCUGGGCAGUAGCUGACGCUGAGGCGCGACAGCGUGGGGAGCAAACAGGAUUAGAAACCCCCGUAGUCC
rnacentral:rRNA from 1 species